rnacentral:rRNA from 1 species
GACGAACGCUGGCGGCGUGCUUAAUACAUGCAAGUGGAGCGACGAACCAGGCUUCGGCCUGGGGCAGAGCCGCGAACGGGUGAGUAACACGUGGGUAACCUGCCUCGAUGACCGGGACAACCCGGGGAAACCCGGGCUAAUACCGGAUGUGCUGUCCCCACAUCAGUGGAGACAGGAAAGGAAGCUUCGGCCUCCGCAUCGAGAUGGGCCCGCGGCCCACUUAGCUUGUUGGUGUGGUAACGGCUCACCAAGGCUGCGAUGGGUAGCUGGUCUGAGAGGACGGAUCAGCCACACUGGGAC